rnacentral:lncRNA from 1 species
UCAAACUUCUGAUCAAAAGCAUCAUCAAAGGCAUCAUCAAAUUCAUCAUCUAAUCGAUCAUCAUAUGCAUCAUCCAAUCGAUCAUGGCUUGAUGAUGCUGCCAUUAUAAAUUUUUUAGAUAUUGGUGAUUAGAGAUAAGGAGAGGAAAAAUUUGAGGAUAGAAUUUGGCCAAGUUUUUGUGUUUGACAAAGUGUUUUUAGUUUGAAUGAGAAGAGAAUAUGGAAUUUGGGAAAGGUUGAUGA